GUUUUCGACUCUGUCACUCGUCUGAACUUGUGCGGUGGUUCGUGCUGCGCGCGCUUUGUCGGAAGCAUUUUUCUUUUGUUUUUGGACAUCAUGACGCAAGUUUUAGUGAAAUUGCUCUAUGAUGAUAAGUGGGAUGUUUAUCCGUUGAAGACGUUCGCUGACGCAGCCACUGGUCUUCGGGUGAUGUUCGAGCCUGGCAGUUUUGAUGAGUUGCACGGCAGAAUUCAUGAUGGAAGGAAGGCGAACAAAGCCGCAGCCUAACUUCUGCACACAGGCAAACCGCAUGCCCUGGAGCGAAAGCGCGCGAAGCUAGCGCUUGCUGCCGCCGCUGCUUCGAUUGAAAUGUUACACAUGCACCAAAAGGCCAGGUGCUGACGUGUCGUUCGUCAAGAACAGCUUGGCGUCGUUUCUCGCAAGAGACAUCCAUUGAUCUGCGGCUGAUUCACCAGGAAGCUCGCAUCUCUGUUGCCACUCUGCGUCAAGUGGGAUUUUUAACUAUUUUUUAUUCUGCCCGGGUGGUGUACGCUGUGACGCUGUGAAGACUUACUUUCAUGGACGCUGUGAAGGCUUACUUUCGAUGUGUUCUGCCUUUUGGUUGUAAAGAAUUGGCUACCUUGUGAGUGGAGGUAGUUCCUUUUUCUUGUGAGAAUGUUUAUCAGCCUAACCAAGCGGUACAUGCGUACUUGAAACAGCAGCACAGACGAGGAUAAUGAAAUAAGUAGGAACACAUACAAGCGCCGACUCAACUAGAAGUUUAUUCUUGAAGACAGGUUGUAAACACAUUGGAACUUGACAAAGAUAAGAAACCAUGUAUGCGUGGCCUUUGUGAUUAAACGAAAUUGUGUUUUCUGCUGUUAGGGGUAGAACGAACAAUUGUUUCAUCACAAAGACCAGAACACAAGAGAAAUUAUGGAAGCCUUAUUUAUUGAUUGCAAAGAAGACAAAUGCAUAAGCUAUCUGUUGCUCUUAAUGGGAAAGAGUUGGGAUUUUUAAAAGAGCUCUCCUUGUUUGGUGGUAUCACUUCUAGGACAUCUUUCACUCUUUUUUUUUACCUGCAUAUUUAUACUACAAAACACGUGUUUUGUUCCUUUUUUUUGUUGCACCGGGCUGUCUGCCACGCAUGCAUGGCUAUUUCUUUGUCAAGUUGGCCAGUGUGCUUAAUAUCUUUGUCGUCACGAACAAACUUCUAGUUGAGUCAGCAUUAUUGUGUGUUCCUACCUUAUUUCACCGUUCUCAUCUUUGUUUGAGCUGUUUGUAAAGUAUGUACACACACCAAAUUACCAAAGUAUCCGUAAAAUUGAGAUACAUGAAGUUAUUUGCACUAUUCAUUUCUGCAAGAAUGGUAUAGCUUCUCAUCUCGUUUGUUCUUAACGUUGUUGUACAGUUUUUGUAAUAUAUAGCCUGGAAAGACGUUUUCUGUCAGAUUAAAUAUGCAUGUAUGUCACUUUUGAUAUUUUUUUUCAACAUGGGUAGUGCAGCUCCUUCCGUCUUUCAGUUACUGCUUUGUCGCAACUUUUAUAUAUUUUAUGCAGCGAAAUGCUGGUGGAAUUAUAUAUAUUUAUGUGCGCAAGUGUGGAAAAUGGUGUUUUGUAUGUGCAUUUAUUUGCGUUUUUUACUAGCUCUCCAAUCUGGCUGUACAGUUAUUGAAACCUUUUCUCAUGCUUUAUAAUGAGUCGUUCUGGGCUCUUUGAUGAUGCAGGUGACCAUUUAUUUCACUGUUGGGAAUUGCGUUAGCUGUGUGUCACUCCAGUUGUCUGUAUUUUAUGUCACUUUAUUAUAUCAUUGAAAGUAUUAGCCUUGCAUUAGCUUUUUAUUGACCAAGGUACCAGUUAGUUGCUGUGUAGGGUAAAAAAGGCCCAAAGAAAUGAUUUCAUUAGCUUUGUUCAAGUCCAGAAAAAAAUUCACUGAUGAGCUCACUAAAUUAGAAAAUGCCACCAGUAAACUCUUCCGUACCCACAAGUAACACAAGAAAUUAAAUACUGUUCACACUCGAGAGGGAAACAGCGCGAAAAAACACAAGAAGGGAGACACACACCAGCGCUUCUUGUCCCUUCUUGUCUUGUGUUUUUUGCGCUGUUUCCCUCUCGAGUAUGCACCAACUAGCCCAAGCCUCUACUGUCUUGAAAUACUGUGCAGUUCUUGACUUAUGCCAGGGAGGUAAGCUGCUUUUACAGCACAAAUGUUUUAGAAGUUUACCUCUGAAAAACACGAUUCAGGUGUUUUGUAUAUAUAUACAUUAAGUCAUUUGUUUCCAGUUGUUAUUUUGCCUACUCACAGGCAGCCGUAAACCCUUCUGUGACUGUUUACUGGGUGUGUGAAGCAUUUUACUGUAAGGUAUCGAGUGGUCUUCAUUUUUGUAUUUAUGCAUGCAAGCCAAGAGUUCAUGUGUUCAAAGUUAAUUACAAGGGUAUGCUUAAGGUCUGCCUUUGAGUCACUUGACUGUUGUUUUUACAAAAUAUAUUUUUUUCUGCUGUAAUUGUGAAAUAUAAUUCUUUCUGCUGUAAUAAACUUCAAGUUGAGUGAGCA